UAAUGAGGACAUGUGAUUUGGAUGCAUGAAUGUAUUGGGGUAUUUGGAGGAGGUUCUCCUAUUCUUUAAGGAGUUAUCGUGUAACUCAUCUCUCUUAUCUAUCUUGGAGUUUUGCUCCAUGCUCACAUUGGUGUACAUGGUGUGUACUUCUAGUUUAUUAUGAUAUCUUAAGCAUUUGGAUCCUAACAUUUGAACAUCCAAAUCACAUGUUCUCAAUA
rnacentral:pre_miRNA from 1 species